rnacentral:rRNA from 1 species
UACGGAGGAUGCAAGCGUUAUCCGGAAUGAUUGGGCGUAAAGCGUCCGCAGGUGGCAAUGUAAGUCUGCUGUCAAAGCGUCUGGCUCAACCAGAUAAAGGCAGUGGAAACUACAUAGCUAGAGUAAGGUAGGGGUAGAGGGAAUUCCUGGUGUAGCGGUGAAAUGCGUAGAGAUCAGGAAGAACACCGGUGGCGAAGGCGGUUCUCCGGGACGGUACUGACGCUGAGACGCGAAAGCGUGGGGAGCGAACAGG